GGUGCGAGCGUUAAUCGGAAUUACUGGGCGUAAAGCGAGCGCAGACGGUUACUUAAGCAGGAUGUGAAAUCCCCGGGCUCAACCUGGGAACUGCGUUCUGAACUGGGUGACUAGAGUGUGUCAGAGGGAGGUAGAAUUCCACGUGUAGCAGUGAAAUGCGUAGAGAUGUGGAGGAAUACCGAUGGCGAAGGCAGCCUCCUGGGAUAACACUGACGUUCAUGCUCGAAAGCGUGGGUAGCAAACAGGAUUAGAUACCCUGGUAGUCAAGGGCG
rnacentral:rRNA from 1 species